UAGCAAUACGUGGCACACGGCUCAGUAACACGUAGUCAACAUAACCAAUGGACGUGGAUAAACUCGGGAAACUGAGGCUAAACCGCGAUAGACCAAGAUACCUGGAAUGGUUUUUGAUCAAAAUCUAUAUGGCCUUUGGAUUGGACUGCGACCGAUCAGGCUGUUGGUGAGGUAAUGGCCCACCAAACCUGUAACCGGUACGGGCUCUGAGAGGAGGAGCCCGGAGAUGGGUACUGAGACAAGGACCCAGGCCCUAUGGGGCGCAGCAGGCGCGAAACCUCUGCAAUAGGCGAAAGCCUGACAGGGUUAUUCUGAGUGACUUUCGCUAAGAAAGUCUUUUGACAUCUCUAAAAAUGGUGUAGAAUAAGGGGUGGGCAAGUCUGGUGUCAGCCGCCGCGGUAAUACCAGCACCCCGAGUGGUCGGGACGAUUAUUGGGCCUAAAGCAUCCGUAGCCGGUUUUACAAGUCCUCCGUUAAAUCCAACUGCUUAACAGAUGGGCCGCGGAGGAUACUAUAAGACUAGGAGGCAGGAGAGGCAAGCGGUACUCAGUGGGUAGGGGUAAAAUCCGUUGAUCCAUUGAAGACCACCAGUGGCGAAGGCGGCUUGCCAGAAUGCGCUCGACGGUGAGGGAUGAAAGCUGGGGGAGCAAACCGGAUUAGAUACCCGGGUAGUCCCAGCUGUAA
rnacentral:rRNA from 1 species